GACCUGAGCCGAAGUCCGACCCUUAACCAACUGAGCCACACAGGGCCCCCAAAGGAAUAAUUUUCUCCAACUUUACUCAUCUUGGAAAUGAUGGGGGAAAGGUCAAUAGGACUCUCUGGUGAAACUGGAUGUGAGAAAUAGACUGAUACAUGGUAGCCUAGACUUUGCACUUCUAAGACAUUACACCUUUUGGGAUAUUUAAAGUAUCUGUGGCAAACCUGUGAUCUUCUGAAGUUCCAAGUGGAGGUGUGGAGUGCUCCUGAUGGCAGAAUUUCCUGGAGAACGAAAUUGAUGUUUGUACACCAAACUUAAAACCUAGCAGGUAGUUUGGAUGUGAUAAGACAGAGAAGAAAGUUGGUGCCUUCAUCAUCUAUCAUCUUCUGCCCUUUUCACAGACCCCAGACCCAUGAAUGAGCAGAACCACUUCAUUUUGCAUUCCACUGCCCAGUCCUCUCUGCUAUUGUGCUCUUCAAAGAUUCUGGGCAUCUUCUGAGUCUGGUAAAAAAAAAAAAGGUGGAUGCUACAUAUGCUUCUGAUUUGGAUUUUCAUAAUAACAUUCCCUAAGAUUUCCAAAAGGCCAACACCUUGAAAAAGUAUGUUAAAUGGCUUAGUGUUUGUUUUUUGAAUGUUUUAAAUGCUGCAUGCAACUUUGUUUGGUUCUGGGUAUGCAUUUAGCAUUUAAUUAGAAGUCAGUGCAGUGAUCCUUUUCUGCUUUAUUUUCUACAAAAAGAUUUAGUAGUGGACAACUAUGUCUGUGAAGCUGGGGUGACUUUCCAAAAGGGAACAUAUAGCCAAGGUUUUCUUUCUCCUUAAGCACCAGGGCGAAGGUUGGCCUCACACAUAUAAGUUGUGACAAGUCCAUUUCUGGCUGUGUAGUUGGAUUCCCAGAAUGUCAUUUCUUCUUGUAUUUCAUGAUUCUGUCACUCCAGGGUUGGAGUUACUCAUUCUAUUACCAUCUUAGAUUUCAGUUUCCAUAAUGUGCCCAUCUGAAUUCAGCAUUAAUUUUCUUUUCCCUGGCAAGAAAACACCAAAUAGUGUGUUUAACCCCUUGAGUCAUCAAUUCAUCAAUAGGCCAGGCUCUGUACUUUGGGAUAGCUCAACAAACAAUUUUACCACUGACCACAGAGUUGGAUAGAGUAAUCCCUUUCUGCAGAGAGCACAGAGGAUGAUCCAAGUCAGGGCAUAUGGGGAAUGAUUUCUUUUGCCAUCUGCAUUUUGCAUAGGGUCAUGUAACCACCAGACCAGUAGGCCCCUUAAUUCACCCUGUCAGCUCCAAAUAGAGCAGACUUCACACACAAAAAGUGAUGUAUCUAAACCUGAACAAAGCAAUGGUUUAUGAUCUUCUCUUCACAUCCUUGGAUCUUAGGCAUUACAAUAUUUUUCUUUUCUUCCUAAGAUCUUUUACUAUAAAAUUUUAAAAAGCUCACAGUGCAUCAGCAUGGUCUUCUUAGAUGUUUGUUCACUUCUGUUCUUGUUGCUUAAGAAUUAAACACACAGAAAACUUCCUCCCUACCCAGUUCAUACUCCUUGUUUUGUUAAACUGGUAUUAUUACCCUUUUCAUUAGGGUUCAUUUAAAUUCAUCCUUAAAGGUUUGGAUUAAAAUUAACUAACAUAUAUGUUAAUGGUCAUGUCUAUACACAAAUCUGUUUGACUAUUUUGACUAAAUAUGUGAAACUACUAAGUAAAUGGAACGAAGGUUUGGGACUCUCUUACCAACCAGUUAUUUGGGGAUGUAUAUCUCAUUAAAUGAUUUGGGU